GAUGGUAGGAUAGUGGCCUCCCAUGGUGGCAACGGGUAACGGGGAAUUAGGGUUCGAUUCCGGAGAGGGAGCCUGAGAAACGGCUCCCACAUCCAAGGAAGGCAGCAGGCGCGCAAAUUACCCAAUCCCGAUACGGGGAGGUAGUGACAAUAAAUACUAAUACGGGGCUUUUUUGGGUCUCGUAAUUGGAAUGAGAACAAUCUAAAUCCCUAACGAGAUA
rnacentral:rRNA from 1 species